rnacentral:rRNA from 1 species
AGUGAACGCUGGCGGUAGGCCUAACACAUGCAAGUCGAACGGCAGCACAGUAAGAGCUUGCUCUUACGGGUGGCGAGUGGCGGACGGGCGAGGAAUACAUCGGAAUCUACUUUUUCGUGGGGGAUAACGUAGGGAAACUUACGCUAAUACCGCAUACGACCUACGGGUGAAAGCAGGGGAUCUUCGGACCUUGCGCGAUUGAAUGAGACGAUGUCGGAUUAGCUAGUUGGCGGGGUAAAGGCCCACCAAGGCGACGAUCCGUAGCUGGUCUGAGAGGAUGAUCAGCCACACUGGAACUGAGACACGGUCCAGACUCCUACGGGAGGCAGCAGUGGGGAAUAUUGGACAAUGGGCGCAAGCCUGAUCCAGCCAUACCGCGUGGGUGAAGAAGGCCUUCGGGUUGUAAAGCCCUUUUGUUGGGAAAGAAAAGCAGCAGGUUAAUACCCCGCUGUUCUGACGGUACCCAAAGAAUAAGCACCGGCUAACUUCGUG